ACUCAAAUGAAUUGACGGGGGCCCGCACAAGCGGUGGAGCAUGUGGUUCAAUUCGACGCAACGCGAAGAACCUUACCUGGGCUCGAACGGCUAGUGCCACCGGUAGAAAUAUCGGGUGCUUGAGAUUACAUCAAGAGCCGCUAGUCGAGGUGCUGCAUGGCUGUCGUCAGCUCGUGCCGUGAGGUGUUCGGUUAAGUCCGGCAACGAGCGCAACCCCUAUCUGCUGUUGCCAACGGGUAAUGCCGGGAACUCUGCAGAGACUGACUGCGCAAGCAGAAGGAAGGUGGGGACGACGUCAAGUCAUCAUGGCCCUUAUGUCCAGGGCUACACACGUGCUACAAUGGAUGGUACAAAGGGACGCCAACUCGCGAGAGGGAGCAAAUCUCAGAAAACCAUCCUCAGUUCGGAUCGCAGUCUGCAACUCGACUGCGUGAAGCUGGAAUCGCUAGUAAUCGCGGAUCAGCUACGCCGCGGUGAAUACGUUCCCGGGCCUUGUACACACCGCCCGU
rnacentral:rRNA from 1 species